rnacentral:rRNA from 2 species
UAACAAAAACAUUUCUAUUAGAUUUCAUUAAUAGUAUAAUCUGCUCAAUGAUAUUAAAUAGCCGCUAUUACUGUGCUAAGGUAGCAUAAUCAUUUGUCUUUUAAUUAAAGACUAGAACAAAAGAUUGAACAUUUUAAUUAAUAUAUCCAAACUAAUUAAUUAAAUUUAUUUUAAAUGUAAAAAAACAUUUAUAAAUUAGAAAGACGAUAAGACCCUAUUAAACUUAACUUAAGUUAAACUGGGGCAGUUAAUUAAUUAUCAUUUUAAUUUAAAUACAAAAACAAAUAGAUCCUAUAAAAUAGAUUAAAUGACCAAGUUACUAUAGGGAUAACAGCGUAAUAUUAAUUAAAAGACCUUAUUAAAAUAAAAGAUUACGACCUCGAUGUUGAAUUAAUAACCUAUAUAGUUGCAAUAAACAAUAAAGG